GGAGAAAUGGCAGAGCGGUUGAAUGCGGCAGUCUUGAAAACUGUUUUAGUGUAAGCUAACGGGGGUUCGAAUCCCUCUUUCUCCGCCA
rnacentral:tRNA from 1 species